AAUCAAACGAAGAGGGCAAAGCAAAAUUUGCUCGAUUAUGGAAUACAAUAAUUAUCAGCUUCAGAGAAGAAGAUCUUAUUAGCGACAGGGAGAAGGACCUUCUGCUUAUGCCGUAUCAGGCUGACAGAGAACUUAAAGACAUUAUCCAAUGGCCUCCAUUUUUACUAGCCAGCAAGAUACCUAUGGCACUAGACAUGGCCAAAGACAGCAAUAGUAAGGACCAGGAACUCAGGAAGAGAAUAGAGACCGAUAACUACAUGUCUAGUGCUAUUCGUGAAUGCUAUGCUCAGUUUAGAAGCAUCAUUAACAUUUUGGUU